AAAAAUUUAGUUAAACCUAUAACAUUAGCUUGUCAAGCUAAAAUUAUUUUAAAAAUAAUUUUUA
rnacentral:tRNA from 1 species